rnacentral:rRNA from 1 species
AGUGAACGCUGGCGGUAGGCCUAACACAUGCAAGUCGAACGGCAGCACAGUAAGAGCUUGCUCUUACGGGUGGCGAGUGGCGGACGGGUGAGGAAUCCAUCGGAAUCUACUUUUUCGUGGGGGAUAACGUAGGGAAACUUACGCUAAUACCGCAUACGACCUACGGGUGAAAGCAGGGGUUCUUCGGACCUUUCGCGAUUGAAUGAGCCGAUGUCGGAUUAGCUAGUUGGCGGGGUAAAGGCCCACCAAGGCGACGAUCCGUAGCUGGUCUGAGAGGAUGAUCAGCCACACUGGAACUGAGACACGGUCCAGACUCCUACGGGAGGCAGCAGUGGGGAAUAUUGGACAAUGGGCGCAAGCCUGAUCCAGCCAUACCGCGUGGGUGAAGAAGGCCUUCGGGUUGUAAAGCCCUUUUGUUGGGAAAGAAAAGCAGCAGGUUAAUACCCCGCUGUUCUGACGGUACCCAAAGAAUAAGCACCGGCUAACUUCGUG